UGUCGGGGGCCUGUGAAGGGCGGGACUUAGUUCAGACCGUAGGAGACGGAGCGUGAAGAAACGCGAGAACAUGAGAGAGGACAUUACGCUGCUCUAACUUCGUUUUAUUCUCAGUAAAUACAAUAUAUUGCAAGAAUUAAGACCCAGCGGGAUUGCGACUCAGUGUAGCCUAAACCAGCCGGACUGUCAGCCGUGUCUGGAGACGUUUGAGUGAGCAUUGUUGCUAAAUUAGCUCAACUGUUAGCACGUGAAACUGAGUUAGCUGACUAGCGUGCGCCUCCUGGAGCGGAAGGACCUGCGCCAGGCUGCUUGUGGGAAGCCUGGGUUUAUUUACAAGUGUCUGAUGUGCGGACAUCGCCGCUCGUGCUGCUGCGGUAGAGGUUGCUCGGGAAAUGCCGCCAGGGACUUCCUGCACGUCGACAGGGCUUCUCUUCUUCCUUCUGCUCGCUGCGGUGUCGGGGGUGCGAAUGGACCGGUACCACCAGCUGUCAGAGCUUCCAAGGGACCGUGAGUACGAACAAUUCUCCACCGGAGGGUUACACAUGAGCUCCAACAGCGCGCCAACGAACAUGGGUAAUUACGGUACAGCCCCCCGUUCAUGUAUCUGGGCUGCAUAUGUGUUGCCGUGGUGGUGACUUCCGCCUCCGUCCUCCACACAUUGUAAACAAACAUGUCAGCGUUGGAUUUCGUUGCCAAGAGGAAGAGCAAGUCCGUUGUGUGGAAGCAGCUUCGACGCUUCGGAUGAAGAGCAAGAUACUCCACGUUCUAAAGUCUGUCUCCGAGUUAAAAACCACAGCACGCCUAACUUAUUUCAACACCUCCAGAGAAGCCACGUACCGGAAUGGCAGCAGUGUGUUGCUCAAGAGAACGUGGAUGCGGCUACACCACCACCAACUCCGAAGCAAGCAACUCUGCCGGUUUUGUUUUCACGUGGUGUACCACAAGACAUGACAAGACCGAAAGGAGGUGGAAAAUUUUUACGGAUGCAGUCGCGUUUCACAUCGCAGUAGACACGGCCCCGAUAUAUACAGCUGGCUUCCAACAUUUGUUUCAUGUGCUGGACCCCCGCUACAAGCUGCCAGGCCAAUGGGGAAAUUAUUUGCAAAAUGUUCAAUAAAAAAA